UUCGAUUCUGGCUCAGAUUGAACGCUGGCAGGAUGCUUUACACAUGCAAGUCGAACGGCAGCACGGACUUCGGUCUGGUGAGUGGCGAACGGGUGAGUAAUGUAUCGGAACGUGCCCUAGUAGCGGGGGAUAACUACGCGAAGCGUAGCUAAUACCACCUUGUUGCCUUGAGGAAAGCGGAGGACCUUCAGGCCUCACACUAUUAGAGCAGCCGAUAUCGGAUUAGCUAGUUGGUGGGGUAACGGCUCACCAAGGCGACGAUCCGUAGCUGGUUUGAAGGACAGCCAGCCACACUGGGACUGAGACGGCCCAGACUCCUACAGGAGGCAGCAGUGGGGGUACGGACAAUGGGGGAAACCUGAUCCAGCCAUCCCGCGUGUGCGAUGAAGGCCUUCGGGUUGUAAAGCACUUUUGGCAGGAAAGAAACGGCGCGGGAUAAUACGUGCAACUGACCGUACCACUGCAGAAUAAGCACCGGCUAACUACGUGCCAACAGCCAUGACGGUAAUACGUAGGGUGCAAGCGUUAAUCGGAAUUACUGGGCGUAAAGCGUGCGCGGGCGGUUCGGAAAGAAAGAUGUGAAAUCCCAGAGCUUAACUUUGGAACUUCACAUUUUUAACUACCGAGCUAGAGUGUGUCAGAGGGAGGUGGAAUUCCGCGUGUAGCAGUGAAAUGCGUAGAUAUGCGGAAGACACCGAUAGCGAAAGUGGCAGCCUCCUGGGAUAACACUGACGCUCAUGCACAGCGUGGGGAGCAAACAGGAUUAGAAUGCCCUGGUAGUCCACGCCCUAAGCGAUAUCAAACCUUCAGCUGUUGUUGGGGCCUUCCGGGCCUUGGUAGCGCAGCCUGCGCGUGAAGUUGACCGCCUGGGAAAUACGGUCGCAAGAUUAAAAACUCAAAGGAAUUGACGGGGACCCGCACAAGCGGUGGAUGAUGGAUUAAUUCGAUGCAACGCGAAAAACCUUACCUACCCUUGACAUGUCUGGAAUCCCGAAGAGAUUUGGAGUGCUCGCAAGAGAACCGGAACACAGGUGCUGCAUGGCUGUCGUCAGCUCUCGUGUCGUGAGAUGUUACUGGUUAAGUCCGCAACGAGCGCAGCCCUUGUCAUUAGUUGCUACGAAAGGGCACUCCUAAUGAGACUGCCGGUGACAAACCGGAGGAAGGUGAGGAUGACGUCAGAGUCUCAUGGCCCUUAUGGUGUUGGGGCUUCACACGUCAUACAAUGGUCGGGACAGAGGGUCGCCAACCCGCGAGGAGCCAAUCCCAGAAACCCGAUCGUAGUCCGGAUCGCAGUCUGCAACUCGACUGCGUGAAGUCGGAAUCGCUAGUAAUCGCGGAUCAGCAUGUCGCGGUGAAUACGUUCGGGUCUUGCUUACCGCCCGUCACACCAUGAAUUGGGUUUUACCAGAAGUAGUUAGCCUAACCGUAAGGAGGGCGAUUACCACGGUAAGGAUUCAUGACUGGGGUGAAGUCGUAACAAGGUAA
rnacentral:rRNA from 1 species